GACGGGACCGCACAAGCGGUGGAUGAUGUGGAUUAAUUCGAUGCAACGCGAAAACUUACCUACCCUUGACAUGUCCGGAAUCCGAAGAGAUUUGGGAGUGCUCGCAAGAGAGCCGGAACACAGGUGCUGCAUGGCUGUCGUCAGCUCGUGUCGUGAGAUGUUGGGUUAAGUCCCGCAACGAGCGCAACCCUUGUCAUUAGUUGCCAUCAUUGGUUGGGCACUCUAAUGAGACUGCCGGUGACAAACCGGAGGAAGGUGGGGAUGACGUCAAGUCCUCAUGGCCCUUAUAGGUGGGGCUACACACGUCAUACAAUGGCCGGUACAGAGGGUAGCCAACCCGCGAGGGGGAGCCAAUCCCACAAAGCCGGUCGUAGUCCGGAUCGCAGUCUGCAACUCGACUGCGUGAAGUCGGAAUCGCUAGUAAUCGCGGAUCGGCAUGUCGCGGUGAAUACGUUCCCGGGUCUU
rnacentral:rRNA from 1 species